CCGGCCUGCGCAAACUCGUGGUGGAUUUUGACAGCGACAAGCUGGGCCACGUUAGAGGAUACAAGAACGUUAUCAUCGGGAAAUGAGAGAACGGAAUUCGAAUCGUUUCUAUUUUUCCAUGUACCUGACAUUGAAACAUGCACAUUCCUGGAUGUGUUUGGAGCCACAUUGCACUGUGGGAAAUAUCAUGCUGUAAAAACACAAGAAUGAAAAGGAGGCAUGGAAGAGACGGCAAUUUACCCAGAUUUUUAGAAGAGAGAGUAAACAUUUUAUAUGCAAUUUUUAUGUUUUUGCUUCAUAUAUCUUUAUAUUCAGCUGUGACUUUUUCAUUAAAAAUCAUUUAUGCUAU